GACCAUUCCGCUGAGAUGGAACUAAGAUGGAUUUGCCGUCGGAACUGAAGAGGCCGGUCUCAGAGGGGCAAGACGAAGAAGAAGACGACCGAGAAGAAGAAGACGGAGAAGAAGAAGCCCUCCGAUGAGCGUUACUCCAGGUCGCAUGGACUCCUGGGAGACAAACACGUGGCACGCGAACCUGCUCAGCAUGGGGUGCUUCGUGAUGAAGCCAAAGUAGCUGCACAAAAAGGAGGCGCGAACGUCAGAAGACGCCUCACCGGUGGCGCUAGAGAGACGGCGGAUCCGUCCGCUUACCAGUUGUUCCUCGGGUGACAUCCGCAGAAGGAGAUGUUCUUCAUCUGGAAGAAGUGACUGCAUCUGUCGAACUGACAACACAAACAGAACCAACGCAAUCCGUGACCUGUGGACAGACUGAGGGAGAGGUGGGUACUAGAGCUACUCUCCUGUGCUAGUGACUCGCUCCCGCUUUCGGGGAGAGGCCCUUUACUCAUCUGGUUCUAAGUCUCGGGACAGGCAGGCCCUCCAUUUCACAACAUGAUCAUCAUCCUCCGGUCUUCAGGGAACCUUACAGACGCCAUAUGGACAAAAUUAUUGGGACAUAAUCCGUCAGGGACCUUGACCGAGUAUCCCCUUCAGCCUGAUGAGGACCCAUUACAGAAAACGGACUUCAUAAAUGCUUCUGUUCAAAGAGUUAGGUCUGUGGACUGGCUGCCCACAAAUCAGGUGUGUAAUUACACACCA